GAGGAAUUUUGCGCAAUGGGGGAAACCCUGACGCAGCAACGCCGCGUGAGUGAUGAAGGCUUUCGGGUCGUAAAGCUCUGUCAAGUGGGAAGAAGUUGUGUAUGGCUAAUAUCUGUGCACAUUGACGGUACCACUGAAGGAAGCACCGGCUAACUCCGUGCCAGCAGCCGCGGUAAUACGGAGGGUGCAAGCGUUAUUCGGAUUUACUGGGCGUAAAGGGCGCGUAGGCGGCUUGAUAAGUCAGUCGUGAAAGCCCGGGGCUCAACCCCGGAAGUGCGAUUGAAACUAUCAGGCUUGAGUAUGGUAGAGGGAAGUGGAAUUCCAGGUGUAGCGGUGAAAUGCGUAGAUAUCUGGAGGAACACCGGUGGCGAAGGCGACUUCCUGGACCAAUACUGACGCUGAUGCGCGAAGGUGUGGGUAGCAAAC
rnacentral:rRNA from 1 species